UCUCUCUCUCUCUCUCUCUCUCUCUCCCCAUCUAGCUAACUACGCAUCUUCUCACGAAGAAGAAGAUCAAGAACAACCUACAAAACCCACAGAUUUGCCCUCAAAACCCAGUUCUUCCUCUUCCUCUCUAUUUUCUUCUCUAUCCAAAUCCAAACCCCAACUUCGUCUCUCUUCGAAUCCCUUCUGCAACCUAAACAAACCCUAACAUAACCAUCUUUUUUGAAUAUGACAGCAUGUCUUGGCAUUAGGUGGCCAUUGUUUGAGCAUUUGAGUCCAAUUUUGGGGGGUUAUGAAGUCUGGGUUUACAUGCCCUCUUCAAGAACAGCUUCUCCAGAAAAUGAAUUGUUGGAAAUAUGUAAGUUUUGAUGUUAAAUUGAAUUUGAUUACUGAAAUUCAAAUUUUGAUUGAUUUCGUCUAUAUUUUGUGUAGAAAGUGAAGUAUUGGGAUUGAUUUUGUUUGUCUUAAACAACAAAUGUGUUUGUUCUUUGUCGAUUGAUUCUUGCAUUUGGUAUUGGGAUUUUCUAUGAACUUAUGAUUAUAUCAUAGUGAGGUAGCAUUGUUGAUUUGCUAUUGCUAUUGCAAUCGUAUUGGGACCAAAAUGCUCAAACAAUGGCCACCUAAUGCCAAGACAUGCUGUCAUAUUCAGAAAAGAUGGUUUUGUUUGGGUUUGUUUAGGUUGCAGAAGGGAUUGAAGAGAGACGAAGUUGGGGUUUGGAUUUGGGUAGAGAAGAAAACAGAGAAGAAGAGGAAGAACUGGGUUUUGAG
rnacentral:lncRNA from 1 species